rnacentral:rRNA from 1 species
AGCAGCCGCGGUAAUUCCAGCUCCAAUAGCGUAUAUUAAAGUUGUUGCAGUUAAGAAGCUCGUAGUUGAAUUUUGGGUCUGGCCGGACGGUCCGCCCUCCGGGUGAGCACUGUUCCGACGCCGGGCCUAUCCUUCUGGUGAGUCGGCAUGUCCUUUACUGGGUGUGUCGGGGAACCAGGACCAUUACCUUGAAAAAAUUAGAGUGUUCAAAGCAGGCGUAUGCUCGGAUACAUUAGCAUGGAAUAAUGAAAUAGGACGCGUGGUGCUAUUUUGUUGGUUUCUAGAACCGCCGUAAUGAUUAAUAGGGACAGUCGGGGGCAUCAGUAUUCAAUUGUCAGAGGUGAAAUUCUUGGAUUUAUUGAAGACUAACUACUGCGAAAGCAUUUGCCAAGGAUGUUUUCAUUAAUCAGUGAACGAAAGUUAGGGGAUCGAAGACGAUCAGAUACCGUCGUAGUCUUAACUAUAAACGUAUGCCGACUAGGGAUCGGGCGGUGUUAUUAUUUUGACUCGCUCGGCACCUUACGAGAAACCAAAGUGUUUGGGUU